AUAUCCAAAUGACAUACGACAACACAUAAAAUAUAUUAGGUGUUUGCGUCUUCUCUAGGGACUUUCAAUUAAAAACUAAAUUUGUAAACUCUUAAAGGUAUUUAUUUAUCUCCUGGGAUUAAGCAAUCCACGCACUAUUUUACAUUUACAAUAAGUGUUGCUUAUGCAUUUUCCUCUAUAAGGAGGCCGGCAAUAUAUUUUAUUUUGAUAAUCUGAAUCAUCAAAACAUUCGAUUCUCUCUGCUGCAAUAAAAAAACACUAUAUGGUUAUUAAAAUGAAAAGAAAUAUAACGUAUGAAAUAAAACAGAACAUUUAAAAUGAAUGAACAAAAGUUACCUUUAAUUUUCGUUCCAAUAAAAAAUAGAAAGAAUAAUAUAAUCAUAACAUAAGGAAAAUUUAUUACUUCUACCAUAUUUCUCCUCGUUAUUUUUAAUAAAUUAUUUUGUAACUUUAUAGUUUAUGAAUAAGAGUGGAUCCUCGCCUUUAAUAAUUUUUACUUGUGGACACUUAGUUGUAAAAUAAAUCUUAAAAUUAAAUUAAUUAGUAUAUAACUUUUCGAUACAUCAUUUUGUUGUCUUUGUCUCUUCAGCAUAUCCAAAAAAGAUGUAAAAUAAAACUUGUCUAUCAUAAAAAUAUAUUCUUCUUAUAAAAAAUUUUUAAUCAUUUUAUAUUAUUUUACCUCGGAUGUGAAUGGGAGAUUACCUCAGUUAUAGAGAUGGGAUACCAAAGAGCGUCAUAAAAAACUAACAUCUUAUAGAUCGGUUUUGAAUAACCGAGGGGAAAGGUGAAAAAGUCAUUCAUUUGAUCCCCAGUGUAGGUCGGAUUUUUUUAAUAAUUGAGGGGUAUAACCAAUGUUUUUUAAAAUUCCAUUUUGACUGACCUUGAUCAUUUUCUAUAUAGAUCCUACAAAUUAGGUGACAGAAUCAUAUCAUUUGUAUUUUAUUUAGAAUAUAAAACAAAAUACCAAUUUUACAUUGUUUAUAAAAGCAAAUGUACAAUCCUUGCAAUACUUAUCGUGAUAUUUGAUAUACACAAAACCUAUUCCAAGAGAACCUAUACAUAUUUGCACCUAAAUUGACAAAACAUUUACACAAUGCUAGUGUAUAGUUAAAAAUCAAGAAAAACUAGUGUUGACUAGAUUCAUAAUGACAUAAGAAGACACUUGCACAACGUGAUCGGAUGUCAUCUAUAUCCUCUUGUGGAAAUGGUGUUUUAUUGCUAGACGCUUAUAAUUUGAACAAAAUUUAAAUUAUGAUAAGUUAACUACAACAAUAAUAAAUUAACAAUUAUACAUAAAUUACAUGUAUAUGGAUAAAGUUAAUACCUUAUUCAAUGAAUUAAUAAUGCCAUUAGAGAAAAUAUUAGACAUAUGUAUCAUAGUAUUAUAUCGACAUAUAAAGUUCUGUGAAUACAUAAAUUACAUGUAUAUGGAUAAAGUUAAUACCUUAUUCAAUGAAUUAAUAAUGCCAUUAGAGAAAAUAUUAGACAUAUGUAUCAUAGUAUUAUAUCGACAUAUAAAGUUCUGUGAUUAUCUUUGCUGCUACAAAUAAUUUUCAUAUUGUUACUAAUUAAUACACAAAAGACAUAAGUAAUACAUUAGAGAAACUAAAAUAAUAUCAAAAAGCAUAAGUAAUACUUACACGUGGUUCUAUGAACUUUAGCUUUUUACCCUGUAUAUUACGUUUCACAAAAUUGUAUCCCUCCAAAUCAUUACAUGAUGGUAAAAAUCAAACAUGAAUAAAACUUUUCAAAACUAAAGGUAAAAUUUGAGUAUUCCAAAUAAUACCACUUACGCACUUAAAAUCUUUUGUAUAUCUUCAUCAAGAUGACAAUGUAACCAGCAUAACAUAACUAUGAUAUUUUUCUUCUGACAUAAAAUAAUUAAUUGCAAAUGUUUGCUACAUAAAAACUUAGAAUAAUUAAUAAUGUGUGUAUAAAAUGAUUUAUAAAUGAAAACACAAAUUAAAUCAUAUACUUAAUUAUUGAUAAAUUAUGACAUGUAAUAUUCUUUAUUCUCUUUAACCAACUUGUUUGUAUGCGUAUAUGGAUAUUGUUUGUUAAAUUACCUUAAAAUUGAAUGUUCAAUGGAUCUAUGAAAUAAUAUGCUUUCAAUUUUCUUUCGACACUUGUCUCAUGCAUGACCCUAUUUAAAAAGUAAUGCAAAUGUCAAAAUUUUAUGUUAAAGUAUGAGAACGAUGAAUUAUGGAAUCUCGUCUAUCAUACUAAAUAAUCUUUUUCAUUUCCAUUUAGUUAGAUUUGCAAAUAAGAGUGUUAGAUUACAUUAUUUUAUUUCCUCUGAAUACUAUGUUGUAUGAUAUA
rnacentral:lncRNA from 1 species